rnacentral:tRNA from 1 species
GGGCCAGUGGCGCAACGGAUAACGCGCCUGACUACGAAUCAGGAGAUUCCAGGUUCAAAUCCUGGCUGGCUCG